rnacentral:rRNA from 1 species
CCCUUAGAUGUUCUGGGCCGCACGCGCGCUACACUGGUACGUUCAACAAGUUUACAACCUUGACCGAAAGGUCUGGGUAAUCUUUUGAAUGCGUGCCGUGCUAGGGAUAGAUUAUUGCAAUUAUUAAUCUUGAACGAGGAAUUCCUAGUAAACGCAAGUCAUCAGCUUGCAUUGAUUACGUCCCUGCCCUUUGUACACACCGCCCGUCGCACCUACUGAUUGAAUGACUCGGUGAAAAAUCGGGACUGCGAGAACAAUCGAUUAAUUUCGAAUGUACUUGUGGGAACUUUUUUUAACCUCGCCAUUUAGAAGAAGGUGAAGUCGUAACA